ensembl:lncRNA
GGGAUACUCUUCCCCAAAAAGAACAUUUGGAAAUCUCACACGGUCUCUGACACAGCAAGACCUGGAGCGCUGAGUACACAGCAGAGCACCGGGCACUGUCCCUAACGGGGCACUCAGGAGCUCCUCUUGGUCAUAAGAUGGCUGCUGCACCUCUGGUCAUCACGUCCACAUUCCAAGCAGGAAGAAGGGGGCAGGGUGAAUUCCUUAAAAUCUUUGCUGUGUAACUCGGGAAAGGGAAUCUUCCCCUGCAUCUUUUGCCUUCACCUCAUUGGCCAGAACUGGGCCACAUGUCCACCGUUAGCUGCAAGGGAAGCUGAGAAAUGGAGCAUUUUCAUUUUCUGGAUUCUGUACAGAGGAAGGCCAGAAGGAAGGGAAUUGGAAUGGGUGUUUGAGAGGUUGCACAGCUAGUUUUCUGUAAAGUCACAGCUUUCAUUUCAUGUCAUCUCACCCUAGGUCUUUGUGUGGAACCUCAGCUCCCAUGACUGACUGGUCAUCAGCACCCAGUUCCUCAAAGGCAGUUGGGAGAGCCCAGUUCAGCCUGCAACCCCAGACACCAUCAAGCCAGACUGGGAUUGAUGGUGUCGGGGACCCCAGUGAUGCUUCUGUCUGUUUUGCAGUUUCUGGCUUGAAGAGCACCCAAAUUCAAAGCUUGUUUUCAGAGGAUGGCCCUCAGAGAGAGUUGCCAGAGUCCCUGUCUCUGGAGGGAGCUCACUUGAACGUCCCCCACCCCAGGGCUGGAGAAACCUGGGCAGCUUCUAAUGCCGAAGGAAGGACCGCUCCGUCCCAUUCGUACUUGUGAGAGACCUCGGGCAAGUCACUUCGCCUUCCGGAG